rnacentral:tRNA from 2 species
GGUAGGAUGGCUGAGAGCUUAGCGGUGGGUUGUAGCCCCAUGUACAGAGGUUCAAUUCCUCUUCCUAUCA